rnacentral:rRNA from 1 species
UACGUAGGGUGCAAGCGUUGUCCGGAAUUAUUGGGCGUAAAGAGCUCGUAGGCGGUUAGUCGCGUCUGCUGUGAAAACUCGGGGCUUAACUCCGGGCCUGCAGUGGGUACGGGCUGACUAGAGUGCGGUAGGGGAGACUGGAAUUCCUGGUGGAGCGGUGAAAUGCGCAGAUAUCAGGAGGAACACCGGUGGCGAAGGCGGGUCUCUGGGCCGUAACUGACGCUGAGGAGCGAAAGCAUGGGGAGCGAACAGG